ACAGGUGCCAGGAAGCCAAGGGUUCCCCAGAGAAGAAACCCUGUGCUGACGCAGGGGCGCUGGUCCCUCUUCGAGAGCCUGUUCUCCGGAGUGGGAAUUUAUCUCCAGCGGAGGUGGGCAGCUCAGCAUAAACCAUGGCCUCUGCGCGCAUCUCCACACUUGGGAUUCUCUUCACACUGAGUGGACUGAGAGCUCAGUCGGUGUCGCAGCCAGAUCAGGUCACUGUUGCUGAAGGGGAUCCACUGACUGUGAAUUGUACCUAUUCAGUUUCUGGAAACCCUUAUCUCUUUUGGUACGUCCGGUAUCCCAACCAAGGUCUCCAGUUCCUUCUGAAAUACAUCACCGGGAACAACCUGGUUAAAGGGAGCUACGGUUUUGAGGCUGAAUUUAAUAACAGCCAAACCUCUUUCCACCUGAAGAAACCAUCUGUCCUCCGGAGCGACUCUGCUGUGUACUUCUGUGCGGUGGCAGACACAGUGGUGGGGGCGGUGGGGGCAGCUGAGCACAAACCCUUGAGUACCACCCUGGAACUUUUUCCCGAAGCCUUUAUGUCCCUCCACUAGAGGGUGGUGUGGUUUUAGGAUAUGUCACUCAUUAUAACUAAACUACAAUUUCAAGGGGUGGCU